GUGGGCACCCUGUGAGAUGGGAAUGGCUAUUUGAUAUUCUUGUCUUCUUCUGGGGACAUGACUAAGACAGGGGAGGAGGACCCAGACAAGGAACUGCACUGUCAUUGGCUGAGAAGGUCUUGGCCACAACACAGUGGCAGCUGCCCUGGUGGUCUAAGUCCUUAGUAGCAGCUGUUGCUUCUGUUCUCUGGAAACUCGAAGCCUAGCAUCAGACACCAAGACUAGCUCUGAGCCCACGGUCUUGGCUUGUCCUUGAAGUAUGAGGCUGGUGACUGGAGUAACUGUGUUUCUGACCCUGGGGACUAUGAUUGAUGCUCAGACCACCCAGCCAAACUCCAAGGACUGUGCUGAAGGGGAAGAUGUAAAGCUGCCUUGUAACCACUCUACCAUCAGUGGAGCUGACUAUAUACAUUGGAAUCGGCAAAAUCCCAAUCAGAGUCCACAGUACAUCAUUCAUGGCUUACAAAGCAAUGUGACCAACAGCAUGGCUUCUCUGACCAUAGCUUCAGACAGAAAGUCCAGCACUUUGGUCCUACCCCGGGUGACACUGAGAGACACCGCUGUGUACUACUGCAUCCUAAGAGACCCACAGUGGGACAGAUGGGGCUGUACCUGUACAGUAUCUCUCUGGUGACAAGGAUGGGAGUGGAGGGGGGCAGAAUCACUGAGAGCAAAUCUAGAGCCAUCUAGAGUGAGAGUCAGAGAGCAAGAAGAAAAGAGGGAAAAACAGGAGAAGGAAAGGGCGAGAAUAUGGAUAAAGAAAAGAAGAAAGAGAGGACAAGGAAUCAGUGCUUCAUUGGUUGAUGUGGCUGAGAGAAUUAUCUGGAGAAUAAGAAUCAUAAUUUUAACAUAGCAAGAAAGUGAAGAUGUAUAAAUAGGUUUUUAUGGCUCCUCCUCAAGUCAAUAAAGUGCUGGUUUCAGUGUGUUUGUCUCAACAUAAAAAUUGAGGAAAAUCCAAUUAAUUCUCCUUGGCCCAAAAGCUUCUUUUAUCUGGGCCCACAGCAAGUGCAGACUCUGAAUGGCGUAUGAUUCCUGUUGUUCCACUUACCAGGAACAAAUUACUCUUUCUCUGAGAAUAACCUGAUUUGUUUUUCUUGCUAGCCAGAAUAUGUAUAUUUUUGA